rnacentral:rRNA from 1 species
GAUGAACGCUAGCGACAGGCCUAACACAUGCAAGUCGAGGGGCAGCACAUGAGUAGCAAUACGAUGGUGGCGACCGGCGCACGGGUGAGUAACACGUAUGCAACCUACCUGUAAGAGGGGAAUAACCCGGAGAAAUUCGGACUAACACCGCAUAAUACCUCGAAGCUGCAUGGCUUUGAGGUUAAAUAUUUAUAGCUUACAGAUGGGCAUGCGUAACAUUAGAUAGUUGGUGAGGUAACGGCUCACCAAGUCAACGAUGUUUAGGGGUUCUGAGAGGAAGGUCCCCCACACUGGUACUGAGACACGGACCAGACUCCUACGGGAGGCAGCAGUGAGGAAUAUUGGUCAAUGGGCGAGAGCCUGAACCAGCCAAGUCGCGUGAAGGAAGAAGGUUCUAUGGAUUGUAAACUUCUUUUGUAAGGGAAUAAAAGAGUUACGUGUAACUUAUUGUAUGUACUUUACGAAUAAGGAUCGGCUAACUCCGUGCCAGCAGCCGCGGUAAAA